rnacentral:rRNA from 1 species
UGAAGCGAACGCUGGCGGCGUGCUUAAGACAUGCAAGUCGUGCGGGACUGGGGCUUGCUCCAGUCCAGCGGCGCACGGGUGAGUAACACGUGGGUAAUCUACCUCUAGGUCUGGGAUAACCUCGGGAAACUGGGGCUAAUACCGGAUGAGACUAAGAGAUCCUCGGAUCUUGCGGAAAAAGAUGGCCUCUUCUUGAAAGCUAUCGCCAAGAGAUGAGCCCGCGUCCCAUUAGCUAGUUGGCGGGGUAAUGGCCCACCAAGGCGACGAUGGGUAGCUGGUCUGAGAGGACGAUCAGCCACACUGGAACUGAGACACGGUCCAGACUCCUACGGGAGGCAGCAGUCGGGAAUUUUGGGCAAUGGGCGCAAGCCUGACCCGGGGGCGCCGCGUGAGGGAUGAAGGCCUUCGGGUCGUAAACCUCUGUCGGGAGGGACGAAAGGCGCGCGGGUGAACAAUCCGCGUACUUGACGGUACCUCCAAAGGAAGCGCCGGCUAACUCCGUGCCAGCAGCCGCGGUAAUACGGAGGGCGCAAGCGUUGUUCGGAAUCACUGGGCGUAAAGCGCGUGCAGGCGGCUUGGUAAGUCGGGUGUGAAAUCCCGGAGCUCAACUCCGGAACUGCACCCGAUA